rnacentral:lncRNA from 1 species
AUGCGGAGGGUUGGAGCUCGUGAGCGAAGGCGCUGAAUCCUGAGGGUCAGAUCUCCAAGAAGGAGGGAGGCUGGUCCUAGUUCCCGAGGUCCUAGACUAGGUCUAGAUCACUGGGUAAAAGAAGGGGAGCGGCAGCACGUAUGGGGUAGGCGCUCUCACUACUCACAUCUCGAGACCUUUGCCGGCGUAGGGCUGUCCGGGGGGAACGACCCGCCUUUUCCGGUAUCGGUUGUCAUGGCGGCGCCCAGCCCAGCCUGGUUUUUUCCGGUAGCCAAUUGAACUAACAACCCCGUUCCCUUUAGGACUAAUCUGUCACGGCGGCGCCCUACCUCUUCUUCCGGCCCGGCUCGUCAUGGCGGCGCCCUGAGUAGCCACUUCCGCCCUCUUCUGGCUAAAUUGCUUCAUCCCUAUUUCCGGCUUGCCAUGGCAGCGCUCGGGGUUUAACGGAAGUAAGCAAUGGAAAGUAUGGUGGUGCCUCGGGUCCAAAGAGAAUGCGCCGCUGAGUUGCGCGGCACCUGACGGGAUUGAGCCUCAGACACAAGCGCUCCAAAUCUCCGACUGUAGCUGAUCUUUCAAGACUCUAGUCAAAAUGAGCAGAACAUUUUGCAGUUAAUCAUAGAGUUGAAGAUGAACGAGAAGAUGAACGAGAGCUACUUGAUUGUGAACUAGUAACGACCACUUGGAGUCGCAGUGUGUCUGUAAAAUGAUGAUGACAGUGACAUCAUAGAGGACAUAGUGCAAGUGAACAGUUUGAUACUGAGCUUGGAGCCUCAGUAGUUCUGGAUAAGUGAGAGCUGUACGGGAGGUUGUAACCAUGAGCUACCCUGGUUGGCAGUUGACAUCCGAGGACCAGCACUGGUCAUCGCACAGAAAGAAAACUUUACACCUUGAGAUCCCUCCAUUCUUCUUAAACUUCCAAGUGUAUGUUUGAUGGGAGAAGAGGGGAAGGGAUCAACAUUUAAAGGCUCUGGAAGGAGUCAGAUAACUGUUUUUGGCUUCAAAUGUAGAAUGAAUCCCUAGAUUUUCCUCUACUGAGAGAAUGAAAUCUUAACCCAUUCCGUUCCCUUGUUGGUACUCAGAAACGGAUACCCCAAAGAUGCAUUUUGACAUGCUGAAAGGCCUUAGAAGCUGCCUUAGAAGAUCUGUCUAACCUUGUCUUGUUGGUGUGUGGAAGUGGGAAUGCCCACAGGUGCACAGGGAGGGAGUUUCUGAAAUUAUCUGACCGAGAAAGCAAAAAAAAAAAAUCAAUUGUCUUAAACCCGGUUUCUAGGGAUCUCAUUAAAGAACUAGGAAAAAUUAACCACCUGUUAACAGAAAAACCAAACUGAAAUGUUUUAAAGAGAUUUAUUUUGAGCCAAUAUGAGUGACCAUGGCCUGGGGAACACAGGCUCAAGAGGUCCUGAGAAAGUGUGCCUGAGACAGUAGAAUUACAGUUUGGUUUUGUACAUUUUAGGUGGACAGGAGUUACAGACAAAGACAUAAAUCAGUACAUGGAAGGUACAGAUUGUGUUCAGCUGGGUGCAGUGGCUCACGCCUGUAAUCCCAGCACUUUGGGAGGUCGAGGUGGGCGAAUCGCUUGAGGUCAGGAGUUCGAGACCAGCCUGGCUAACAUGGUGAAACCGUGUCUCUACAAAAAAUACAAAAAAUUAGCCAGGGAUGGUGGCAGGCACCUGUAGUCCUGGAGCUACUCAGGAGGUUGAGGCACGAGAAUUGCUGCGGAGGUUGUAGUGAGCCGAGACCACACCACUGCACUCCAGCCUGGGUGACAGAGCAUGACUCUGUCUCAAAAAAAAAAAAAAAAUUCUACGGUAUUUUUAUAAUACAUUUUGUAGUACCACUUAUAACCACUUGGGUGCGUGGGUUGCCCAUUAAAUCAAACAGUUUACAGUUCACCCUUGAACAACAUGGAUUUAAACUGUACUGGUCCACUUAUACUCAGAUUUUCUUCUGCCGCUGUCACUCUGAGACAGCAAGACCAACCCCCCUUCCUCUCCUCAGCCUACUCAAUGUGAAAAGGACAAGGAUGAAGGCCUUUAUGAUGAUCCACUUCCACUUAAUGAAUAGUAUAUUUUAUCUUCCUUACGAUUUCCUUAAUAACAGUUUCUUCUCUCUACUUUACUAUUGCAAGAAUACAGUAUAUAAUGCAUAUAACAUACAAAAUAUGUGUUCAUCUAUGUCAUCAGUAAGACUUCAGAUCGACAGUAGGCUAUUAAUAGUUAAGUUUUGGGGGAGUCAAAAGUUAUAUGUGGAUUUUCUACUGCAUUGUUUAAGGGUCAACUGUAGAUUCAACGACUACCUAGGAUUGUAGAGUUGACUGAUAGCACUGGGACUGAUGAUAACAUCAUAACCUGUAAGAAGUGUCAACAAUGGUGAUGGACCCCCAGCAACCCUGGAGUGGGGAUGUCUAAAGAUAGAUGUCAUCCACCAGGCAGGAGUUGGUGCUGCCAGUGUGUCAUGUACUGCAGCCUCUUUUAUUUAUUUAUUUAUUUUUAUUUAUUUUUUGAGACAGCAUCUCGCUUUGUCACCCAGGCUGGAAUGCAGUGGCACAAUCUCGGCUUACUGCAACCUCCACCUCCCGGGUUCAAGCGAUUCUUCUGCCUCAGCCUCCCAAAUAGCUGGGACUACAGGUGCGCACCACCACGCCAGGCUAAUUUUUGUAUUUUUAGUAGAGACGGGGUUCCAUCAUAUUGGCCAGGCUGGUCUCAAAGUCCUGACCUCGUGAUCCGCCCAUGUCGGCCUCCCAAAGUGCUGAGAUUACAGGUAUGAGCCACAGCGCCUGGCCUGCAGUCCCUUUUACUACAACAAAUAUGGGAAAGAGUCACAGGUGUGGCAUACGGUGGUGGCUUCUGCGUUAGAAACAUAGGCCAAGUACAGUGGCUCAUGCCUAUAAAUCUCAGCACUUUGGGAAACUGAGGUGGCCAGACUGCUUGAGCCCAGGAGUUUGAGAUCAGCCUGGGCAACAUGGCGAAAUUCUGUCUCUACAAAAAGUACAAAAGUUACCCGGGUGUGGUGAUGUCAUAGGUAGUAGAUUUAUCCUUCAAACAUCAACAACUAAAAAAUCUGGACAAAAUAGGAGACAACAGAGUUCAGACAUUGGAAACAAGCAUUGUAGCACAGUGGUCCCCAAGAGAAAGGAGACAAAUGAAGUGACCUUAGUGGCCCGGCUUAUGUCUGGAGAGUUAGUUUCUAGGCUACAUAGCCCAGGGGUGUCCCUGAGUUGGGACAAAGUUGAGAAUUUGGAGAGGCCAAGGCAGCUAGUUUGUAAGGCAGGGUACCAGAGAGUAGCGCAGCACAGACCUGCAAAGGGUUUCCUGCACGUGUAGCGCACAGCAUGCCUGUGAACACACUCCUGGAAACCAAGGGAACUACCAGGAAGGUGCAGGCAGAGCAAUCCCCGGAGCCAUAGUGGAGACCAUCACUGUGCACUGGCUAAACUACUCAAAGAUACUGCCUGUCUAGUGAGGCAAAAUUAGCCCUAAUGGCCGCUCUGGUCUCACCUAAGUAAGCUCAGAAACACUGAAGCAAGCUCUCAGUUCGAAGGAAAAUGGAAAUCUGGCAUAUGAAAUCAAGAUCUCCAGAUACAGUAAAUAUAACUCUUAUGACAAAAUAGCACAAAGGCCAAGAGACAGGAAAGUGUGUGCUGUUGCUAAGUUGUUCUACUACCUGUGAAGUGGUAGAAUAUUACAUAAAAGUGUGACAAGUCUAAAGAUGUACACUAGAAAUUUUAAGAGAAACAACAAAAAAUGAAAAUGGAGGUAGGGUUAAUAAGCCAACAAAGGAGAUAAAAAUGAAAUAAUACAAAAUAAAUUAGCCCCGCACAAGUAUGGCCAUCUGAUUUAAACCCUGUCACUCCAGCUGGAGUGCAGUGGCGUGAUCACGGCUCACUGCAGCCUCGACUCCCAGGCUUAGACGAUACUCCCACCUCAGCCUCCUGGGGAGCUGGGACUACAGGUGCACACCACCAUGCCUGGCUAAUUUUUUUAGUAGAGAUGGGGUCUGGCUGUGUUGCCCAGGCUGGUCUCAAACUCCUGGGCUCAAGCAAUCAUCCCACUUCAGCUUCUCAAAGUGCAGGGAUUACAGGCGUGAGCCAGUGCACCCGGCCUAUGGCCAUCUGAUUUUUGACAGAAGUGCAGAAGUAAUUCAAUAGAGAAAGGAUCGUUUUCAAGUAACAGUCCUGGAGCAAUUGGAUAUCUAUUGGCAAAAAAAAAAAAAAAAAAAAAAAAAAAAAUCUUGAUCUAAACCUUACACUUUGUACAAAAAUGAACUCUUAAGUGGAAAAUGGAUCAUAGAUUUAAAUAUAAAGCAUAAAACUAUAAAACCUUUAGAAAAUAACAUAUGAGAAAAUCUUUGGGCUAGGUGAAGAGUUCUUAGACACAACACCAAAAACCUGUCAAUUGGGCUUCAUCAAAAUUUAAAUUUGUUUCUCUGCAAAAUACCUGUGAAGAGGAUGAAAAGACAAACUAUGAACUGGGAGAAAAUAUUUGCAAAGCACUUGUAUGACAAAGGCUUUAUAUCUGGAAUAUAUAAUGAAGUCUUGAAAUUCAACAGUAAGAAGACAAACAAUCCAAUUAAAAAAUGAACAGCAGACAUUUCACUGAAGAUACACAGAUGGCAAAUAAACACAUGAAGAGAUGUUCAACAUUUUCAGCCAUUAGAGAAAUGCAAAUUAAAGCCACAAUGAGAUAUCACUACACAUCUAUCAGAAUGGCUAAAAUAAGAAAUAGUGGGCUGGUCCAAGUGCAAUGGUGUUGCAACAAAUUGAUCACAACCACUUACAGAUUUAUUUGUUCUUUUUCCACUCCCACUGCUUCACUUGACUAGCCUUAAAAAAAAAGUGACAUCACCAAAUGCUGGUUGGUCAGAAUGCCAAGAAAUGAAUCACUUAUACAUUGCUGGUAGGAAUGUAAAAUGGCACAGCCACUCUGAAAAGUUUGGCAGUUUAUUAAAUGAAAUAUGCAACUACCAUAUGACCCAGCAAUCCCAGUCUUGAACACUUGUCCCAGGGAAAUGAAACUUAUGUUUACACAAUAACCUGUAUAGUAGUCCUCCUUAUCUACAAUUUUGCUUUCCUUUUUUUUUUUUUUUUUUUUUUUUUUUUUUUUGAGACUCUAGUCUUGCUCUGUUGCCCAGGUUGCUGUGCAGUGGCGUGAUCUUGGCUCACUGCAACCUCUGCCUCCUGGGUUCAAGUGAUUCUCCUGUCUCAGCCUCCUGAGUAGCUGGGAUUACAGGCGUGUGCCAUCACACCCAGCUAAUUUUUGUAUUUUUAAUAGAGACGGGGUUUCCCCAUGAUGGCCAGGCUGGUCUCAAACUCCUGACCUCAAGUGAUCUGCACACCUCAGCCUGCCAAAGUCCUGGGAUUACAGGUGUGCACCACCGCACCCAGCCAGUUUUGCUUUAUGCAGUUUCAGUUACCCACAGUCUGAAAAUAUGUGAGAACAGUACAUUUUGAGGCCACAUUCAUUUAAUUACAGUAUAAUUGUUCUAUUUAUUGCUGUCAGUUUCUUGCAGUGCUUAAUUAAACAUCAAAGGUAUGUAUGUAUAGAAAAAAUAUAUAGAGGACAUAUAGUACAUAUAGCACAUAUGGAUAGUGUAUAUACUAUCCAUGGUUUCAGACACUCACUGGGAGUCUUGGGAUAUAAUCUUCAAAGAUAAAGGGGGACUAUUAUACCUGAUUGUUCAGAUCAGCUUUAUUGUUAAUGCCCCCAAACUGGAAACAACCAAAAUGUUCAAGGUGAAUGGUUAAACUAUAAAUAUAUAUGCUAUGUACAUAGUAUAUUCAUACUAUGGAGUACUGUGUAGCAAUAAAAAGGAAUUAACUAUUGAUACAUGCAACUACCUGGAUGUAUCUCAAGGGAAUGGAGUGAAAAGGCCAUUCUCAAAGGUUAUACUUCGUGAUCCUAUUUACGUAAGAUUCUUGAAAUAAGAAAAUUAUGAAGAACAGAUUAGUGGUUUCCAGGGGUUAGAAAUGGGGGACAGAGGUAGAGAUGGCUAUAAAAGGAUAGUAUGGCAGAGCUCUGUGAUGACGGAACAGCUCUGUAUCUUGCUUAUGUUGCUGUUUUCAUCCAUCUACACAGGUGAUAAAAUGAAAUAGAACUAUAUAUCACAUGCAACACAAAUGAGUGCAUGUAAAAUGGGUGAAAUUUGAAUAAGCUCUGUGGACUGUUCCAAUGCCAAUUUCUUAGUGGUGAAUCUACAGUUAAAAAGCUAAAAAACAUUUUUUUUGGGAAUGUUUUUAGUGCUGCUAAAAAUAGAAGUGGAGCGAUGACAAUAGACCUCAGCUGUGGGAUCAUUCAGUAGCCAGAACCUGGAAUAGUGUGUGAAAGUGUGUGGUUGGGAUUCUUAACAGCAGGGGGAAACGUCAGUCAGUAGAAUCGACUUUUUCCUUCUUCUUCUCAACCAGCUUCCUGAAGCAAAGCCUAUCUUUUCUAUUAAAUUGGUUUUUUCUUAUGCCUCCCCGCUUUUUUUUUUUUUUUUUUUUUGAGACAGGGUCUCAUUCUGUCGCCCAGGCUGGAGUGUGGUGGCACAAUCUUGGCUCACUGCCUGGACCUUCCAGGCUCAGGAGAUUCUCCCACCUCAGCCUCCUGAGUAGCUGGAACUACAGGCAUGUGCCACCACACCAGGCUAAUUUUUUUUGUAGAGCUGGGGUUUCCCCAUGUUGCCCAGAUUGGACUUGAAUUCCUGGGUUCAAGCAAUCUGCUGAGCCAAAGUGUUGGGAUUAUGGGUGUGAGCCACCACACCCAGCCUUUUUUAAUUUAUAAAAUAGAGACAGGGUCCUGCUCUGUCACCCAGGCUGGAGUGCAGUGGCACAAUCUUGGCUCACUGCAGCCUCGACCUCUUGGGUUCAAGCAAUCCUCCCACCUCAGCCUCCCAAGUAGCUGGGACUACAGGGGUGUGCCACUAUGCUUGGCUAAUUUUUUUUGUCGUUGUUGCUUUUUUUGUAGAGAUGAAGUCUCGCCCAGGCUAGUCUAGAACUCCCAGGCACAAGUGAUUGCUCCUGCCUAGGCCUCCUAAAAUGUUGGGAUUAGUGGCGUGAGCCACUGCGCCCAUCCUGCUAAGCCUAUCUUGAAAUGAUAGAUUUUUCUGUCUGUUCCUAUCUGCCUUAUAAUUAGUGACAGACCAUCUGAACCAAACUCAGGAAAGAAUUACCUUAGGAAAGCUUUCAUCAUCAAAAAACAUCUUAUAAUUGCAGAAGUAUAUACAAGAUGAUCUAUUAUCAACAGUUUAUAAUGGCCAAAGAUAAGUCACCAGAAUAUUUGCAGAAAAAAGUUAUAAUGGCCAAAGAAUGGAACAACUUAAAUACACAGGGGAUGGUAAAUCCAUACAAUAAAAUACUGUACACAAGAAAGAAAACAUAAGUGGCACUCUACACACUGCUAUGAAAGCAGAUCAAUAUAAAAGCAGAAAAAAGCCAAGUAUGGAAGUGUAGACUAAAUAUAAAAUACUCACCGGAGGCCAGGCACAGUGGCUCACACCUGUAAUCCUAGCACUUUCGGAGGCCGAGGUGGGUGGAUCACUUGAGGUCAGGGUCUUCAAGACAGGGUCUUCCUAUAUUACCCAGGCUGUCCUUGAACUCCUGCACUCAAAUGAUCCUCCCACCUCAGCCUCUCAAAUAGCAGGGACUAUAGAUGCACAGCACCAUGCCUGGCUUCCAAAAUGGAUGAAUCUUAUUUCACUAUGCUAAGUGAAAUAAGCCAGUCACAGGACAAAUAUUGCAUGAUCCCACUAUAUGAGAUAUCUGUAAUAGUCAAACUCAUAGAAACAGGGUAGAAGGGUGGUUGCUAGGGGCCAGGGAAAUGGAGAGUUGUUCAACAGGUAUAAAGCUUCAGUUAUGCAAGACAAGUAAGGUCUAAAGAUCUGUUGUACAACAUGGUGCCUGGAAUUAACAAUACUAUAUCGUGCACUUAAAGAUUUGUUAAGAGGGUAGGUCUUGAGUUAAGUGUUCUUACCACAGAAGACAAAACAAAAACUCAACAGCAACCAAAAAGCAAAAAACAAAGGGGCAGGAGGAAACUUGUGGAGAUGACAGGUAUGUUUAUUACCCUGAUUGUGGUGAUGGUAUCAAAGGUGUGUGCAUAUAGUCAGACCCAUCAAAUUGUAUUCAUUAAAUAUGUAACAACUGUACUUCUAUAAAGCUGGUAAAAAACACUGUACCUGUUUGUUUUUACUUCAACGUGGCUAUAAGAAAAUAUAAAAUUACAUUACAGCUUGCAUUCUAUUUGUAUAGUACUGUCCUGCUCAAGAUGGAUUAACAGGUGUGUGACACUCACUGCCUGCUGAGAGCAGGGUGUAGGGAACCUGGGGUUGGAAAGGAGACUUGUCACCGUAUGCUCUUCCAUUUAUCAAUAUUUCAUAUUUUGAGAAGACAUGAACUUUUUGAACAAAGAUAACAGAAAAUCAUUGUCAAUAGUUAAUCUACCAGAGAGAUUCAGAAACCUUGCAUACUUGGUUUUCAGGUCUUGGUUGAGAGUUCUAACACCGUUGAAAAAUCUCAAGAGUAACCUGGUAAUGAUAUCUUCAUUGAAUUAAAAUUACAUUUUGCUUUAAUCUGAUAGUCCUCUUAAUCCAAAAGGUCAACAUCAAGUUAAACAACAUCCAGUUUCACUUUGAUGUUCAUAGCUGCCAGUUCAGCUACAAAAUACCGAAAAACAUAAGGCACAGAAACAGUAUCGAUAGUGUCACUGCGACUACACAGAGUACAGUUGUAUUUUCUGUUGCGCAUGGCAGACCAAGAAGGGGGUGGCUUCUCCAACAGUGGAGAGAGUAAACUGCCACACUUCACACACACAUGGGCUACCGACCGAUCUGAGCAGUUGAAGAGGCGGUCAUGAAGGAGAAAAGAUGUACCAUGAGCUAAAAGCGCAUCCCGUUCCAUCUCCCCAAAACGGAUUCCACCCUGGACAUUUCUUCCCCCAAUAGGCUGGUUGGUGACUCUGUCUCGGGCUCCAGUUGUCCUUACUUGAAAUUUGUCUGAGACCAUAUGGCGUAAGCGCUGAUAAUAAACCACUCCUAUGAAGAUGUCUGCUUCCAGUUCUAGCCCACUGAUGCCACUAUAUAACCUCUCGGUGCCAUAGAAAUUGUAGCCAGCAGCCUUUAACAUCUCACCAAAGUAUUCUAAGGCCGAGUUCUCCUCUGAGAAGAUGAAGGGUGUAGCAUCAUGGCAGAGACCAUGCAAAGCUGCAGACUUCCCGGCCAUACUCUCAAUUAACAUCCCAAUGGUCAUGCGGGAUGGAAAACCAUGGGGAUUGAACAGAAUGUCUGGGACCAUCCCACUCUCAGUAAAAGGCAUGUCCUCAGCCGGCCACAAUCUGCUUAAAAUGCCCUUCUGCCCAUGGCGACUGGCAAAUUUAUCUCCGAUAGUUGGGUUCCGAGGCACUCUCAUAGUGAUGCAAACACACUUGAAUUUUCCACUCCCAGUGUCAUUACUGCACACUUUGAUGUUAUCCACAACACAAUUUUCUUUACUCCUAGGAAAAAGUAAACCAUAUAAGGUCAAC